rnacentral:rRNA from 1 species
ACGCCAGAAAACUACGAGCGCAAGCUUAAAACUCAAAGGACUUGACGGUGCCCCAUCUACCUAGAGGAGCCUGUUCUGUAAUUGAUAAUCCCCGAUACACCUCACCCCUUUUAGCUAAUCAGUUUGUAUACUUCCGUCGUAAGCCUAUCAUAUGAAUGCUUUAAUAGGCUUAAUAAUUUAAACAUUAAAACGUCAGGUCAAAGUGCAACCAAUAAAGAGGGAGAGAUGGGCUACAAUUUUUAAAUUAAAACAUACGAAAUAGCACCUGAAAAUUGCUAUGAAGGUGGAUUUAGAAGUAAAGU